UACGAAGGGUGCUAGCGUUGUUCGGAAUUACUGGGCGUAAAGCGCGCGUAGGCGGCGAUACAAGUCAGGGGUGAAAUCCCAGAGCUUAACUCUGGAACUGCCUCUGAAACUGUGUUGCUUGAGUAUUGGAGGGGAGUGGGGAAUUCCUAAUGUAGAGGUGAAAUUCGUAGAUAUUAGGAGGAACACCGGUGGCGAAGGCGCCACUCUGGACAAUUACUGACGCUGAGGCGCGAAAGCGUGGGGAUCAAACAGG
rnacentral:rRNA from 1 species